AAAUGCGAUAAGUAAUGUGAAUUGCAGAAUUCAGUGAAUCAUCGAAUCUUUGAACGCACAUUGCGCCCGCCAGUAUUCUGGCGGGCAUGCCUGUUCGAGCGUCAUUUCAACCAUCAAGCCCCCGGCUUGUGUUGGGGACCUGCGGCUGCCCGCAGGCCCUGAAAACCAGUGGCGGGCUCGCUGUCACACCGAGCGUAGUAGCAACAUCUCGCUCAGGGCGUGCUGCGGGUUCCGGCCGUUAAAGGCCUUUUACACCCAAGGUUGACCUCGGAUCAGGUAGGAAGACCCGCUGAACUUAAGC
rnacentral:misc_RNA from 1 species